GUUUGCUUUUGUGAGGUAUAAGUAUCCGGAUGAGGCGCAGAAGGCCGUGGAGAAGCUUGAUGGGAGGACUGUGGAUGGCAGAGAGAUACUGGUUCAGUUUGCAAAGUAUGGUCCAAAUGCUGAACGGAUCCAAAAAGGAAGAAUUGUGGAGACACAUAAGAAGUCAAAAGGAGGAUCAAGAAGCCGUAGCCCAAGGUCGAGGCACCGUGACGAUUAUCGUGGACGAGAUAACAGAAGGCGAAGCCGCAGUCGAAGCCGGGAUAGGAAUGAGCGGGACAGAUAUCAUCGUCGAAGCAGAAGUCAGAGCUUGAGUCCUGACUACAACAGAGGCCGUGGUA
rnacentral:misc_RNA from 1 species